rnacentral:miRNA from 1 species
GGUUUCUCUGUGUAGCCCUGGCUGUCCAGGAACUCCCACUGUAGACCAGGCUGGCCUCGAACUCAGACAUCCGCCUGCCUCUGGCUCCCGAGUGCUGGGACUAAAGGCGUGCGCCACCACUGCCCG